UACGAAGGGGGCUAGCGUUGUUCGGAAUUACUGGGCGUAAAGCGCACGUAGGCGGAUACUUAAGUCAGGGGUGAAAUCCCGGGGCUCAACCCCGGAACUGCCUUUGAUACUGGGUAUCUCGAGUCCGGAAGAGGUGAGUGGAAUUCCGAGUGUAGAGGUGAAAUUCGUAGAUAUUCGGAGGAACACCAGUGGCGAAGGCGGCUCUCUGGGACGGUACUGACGCUGAGACGCGAAAGCGUGGGGAGGCGAACAGG
rnacentral:rRNA from 1 species